rnacentral:rRNA from 1 species
AGAAUCAACGCUGGCGGCGUGCCUAACACAUGCAAGUCGAACGAGAAAGUGGGAGCAAUCCCAUUAGUAAAGUGGCGCACGGGUGAGUAACACGUGACUAACCUACCCUUGAGUGGGGGGAUAACCUAGGGAAACCUGGGCUAAUACCGCAUAAUACCUACGGGUCAAAGGAGCAAUUCGCUUUAGGAGGGGGUCGCGGCAGAUUAGUUAGUUGGCGGGGUAAUGGCCCACCAAGACAGUGAUCUGUAUCCGGCCUGAGAGGGCGCACGGACACACUGGAACUGAAACACGGUCCAGACUCCUACGGGAGGCAGCAGUGGGGAAUUUGCGCAAUGGGGGAAACCCUGACGCAGCAACGCCGCGUGGAGGAUGAAGCCCCUUGGGGCGUAAACUCCUUUCGAUCGGGAAGAUAAUGACGGUACCGGAAGAAGAAGCCCAGGCUAACUUCGUGCCAGCAGCCGC